GAGUCAGUGAAGUAUAGUGGUCUGAAUGUUGGACUAAAACUCUGGGAUAUCAGGGUUCAAAUCCCUGCUCAGUCA